GAUGAACGCUGGCGGCGUGCUUAACACAUGCAAGUCGAACGGAAAGACUCCUGCUUUCCUGGUUACUCGAUUGGCGCACGGGUGAGUAACACGUGUGUGAUCUGCCCUGCACUUCCGGAUAAGCCUGGGAAACUGGGUCUAAUACCCGAUAUGACGUUGUUUUUGAUGUCAUUGUGUAAAGUUUUUCGGUUUUGGAUGGGCUCGCGGCCUAUGCGCUUGUUGGUCGGGUAAUGGCCUACCAAGGCGGCGACCGGUAGCCCGCCUGGGAGGGUGUACGGCGACAAUGGGCCUGAGAGACGGACCAGAAGCCUACGGGAGGCAGUAGGGGGGAGUAUUGCGGAAUGGGCGCAAGCGUGAUGCAGAGACGUCGGGUGGGGGAUGACGGCCUUCGGGGUGUAAACACAUGUCGAAGGGGACGAAGCGAAAGUGACGGUACCUGGAUAAGAAGCAACGGCUAACUACGUG
rnacentral:rRNA from 1 species